AAGAGCCGUAUGAAUCGAGAGGUUCGCGUACGGUUCUGUGAGAGGCUGAAGGGGAGGUUCCUUUGGCCUAAUUGAC
rfam:Nitrincola nitratireducens strain AK23 contig000039, whole genome shotgun sequence.